UACGUAGGGUGCGAGCGUUACUCGGAAUUACUGGGCGUAAAGCGUGCGCAGGCGGUUAUGUAAGUCAGGGGUGAAAUCCUCGGGCUUAACCUGGGAACUGCAUUUGUGACUGCAUCGCUGGAGUACGGCAGAGGGGGAUGGAAUUCCGCGUGUAGCAGUGAAAUGCGUAGAUAUGCGGAGGAACACCGAUGGCGAAGGCAAUCCCCUGGGCCUGUACUGACGCUCAUGCACGAAAGCGUGGGGAGCAAACAGG
rnacentral:rRNA from 1 species